rnacentral:rRNA from 2 species
CGAAAACKWGMYYUCMGAGAUGGGAAYGUGCCUUCGGGAACUGUGAGACAGGUGCUGCAUGGCUGUCGUCAGCUGGAGKGAAAUGUUGGGUUAAGUCCCGCAACGAGCGCAACCCUUACCCUUUGUUGCCAGCGGUCCGGCCGGGAACUCAAAGGAGACUGCCAGUGAUAAACUGGAGGAAGGUGGGGAUGACGUCAAGUCAUCAUGGCCCUUACGACCAGGGCUACACACGUGCUACAAUGGCGCAUACAAAGAGAAGCGACCUCGCGAGAGCAAGCGGACCUCAUAAAGUGCGUCGUAGUCCGGAUUGGAGUCUGCAACUCGACUCCAUGAAGUCGGAAUCGCUAGUAAUCGUGGAUCAGAAUGCCACGGUGAAUACGUUCCCGGGUCUUGUACACACCGA